CAAAGUAAAAGUUAUCACUGAAUCAUAUUUGUGACUUUAAUUAAACAUUAUAUGUCUAUAUAACAAAAAACCUAUGGAACCUUUAAUUCCCAGGAUGCCUGCAGCCACACCACCAGCCGAAAAUGGCGCGCCGCGCAGCGAGUUGGAACAACUCCAAUUACGAGCCGGCGAGGUUACUGAUGAGUCACUGGAAUCAACUCGGCGUAUGAUGCAACUAUGCGAGGAGAGCAAGGAGGCCGGCAUACGAACUCUGGUCGCUCUAGAUGACCAGGGAGAGCAAUUGGAUAGAAUUGAGGAGGGGAUGGACCAGAUAAACGCAGACAUGCGUGAGGCCGAGAAAAAUCUGUCUGGAAUGGAGAAAUGCUGUGGUAUCUGCGUUUUGCCUUGUAACAAGGGAGCAUCGUUCAAGGAAGAUGACGGUACAUGGAAGGGCAACGAUGACGGUAAGGUAGUCAACAACCAGCCUCAACGGGUGAUGGACGAGCGCAAUGGAAUCGGACCGCAAGCUGGAUACAUUGGCAGGAUAACAAACGACGCUCGCGAAGAUGAGAUGGAAGAGAACAUGGGUCAAGUGAACACUAUGAUCGGUAACUUGCGUAACAUGGCCAUUGACAUGGGCUCUGAACUUGAGAACCAGAACAGGCAGAUCGACCGUAUCAACCGCAAGGGUGAAUCGAAUGAGACAAGAAUAAAGGUCGCCAACCAGCGCGCACACGAGCUCCUCAAGUAAACGGCGGCGGCAACACACAAACACACACACGUCUCGUGGUCAAGUCGAUUGCAAACACUUACACAAAAAAGGACUUUAUUUUUUGUAUUGUUUUAAUUAUGUCAAUUUAUAGGUUAUAUUUUUGAGUCUUUCAAAAAUUGUUUGAAUUGUUUGCAACCGACUUAAAGAACCAGUAUUUUGCUUAGUGACAUUAACCAAGUAAUCUUUUAUCUGUAAUAAUAUGUAGACAUUUAAAGUUGUAUAGAAUAAUGUUAUUUAUUAAAGGAGGCAAGGAUCAAGACUUUUGCUUGAAGGAAUUAUUGUUAAAUGCAUAAAAUCGAAUGCAAUAAAAUUGCUAAACUCCCUUUCUAUAUUAAAAUUAUUUACCUGUUAAACGCUCCGAUUAUUUGUUGAUACCCAUUUUUUUUAUAAAUCUAUAUGAAAAUGUUACUAUGACCAGUGUUAAAAAAAACUUUUCUCUAAUAAUAUAGGAUUUUGUAGUCAACUAUAAGAAUAUCGUAAGGAUUGGCUAUUGUGAUAAUAUGAGGAUAAGGUGGAGUUAGGUUAAUAUAUUUCAUAGGAGCAUUUAUGUUCUAUGCAAAAUAUCCACCCGCAAUACCCAAAAACGUACUACAUAUCUCAACACACCUGCUUCUAUGGAAUAUUUCUUAGAAAAUGCUUUGUAUGAAACAGCCUUUGAUUGAAAUAAACUUUUCUUAGUUUUGUAUUCGAGAUUACAUUUAGAUAGGAUUUUGUUUAUGUACGAAACCUGAAGUGUUUUUUAGAAAAAAUUGGAAAGAAAUACUGGCACAAGACAGAGGCAGAACAACCAGCCUAGAAGAUUAGAUGGAUCCAAAUGUGUUGUCAAUAUAUAUAAAGUGCCAAAGAUUUAUUUGGAAAUAGAUUGCUCUCCAUGCAUAGAAAAUCUUGGAAUAUACGUACUUAAUGCAGGUGUUAUAAGAAGGAUUUGCAUACGCAGCAAAAGCGUAUACAUACGCGUAUACUAAUUUCAUAAAUACUCCUUUUAAAACGUCUACAUUUCGGGUUUCAACAAAUAUACUUUAAGUAAUCAACGCUAGGAUAGUUGUUAUAUGCUUCAUAAUAAAUUAAUUAUCUAGUUGAUAAAUUUUUAUUCCUAUACGAUUUAGGCACUUAAAUACCUCGUAAAAUGUUUCAUCGCUAUGUAUAUAGUCUAGUAGUUUUCUCACCACGAGACAGACACACAUACACUAACACAUUUACGGACAACGAUACUGGUGAGAGUAACGAGACCCGUAUAGCAGUCGCCAACCAGCGAGCGAAUAAGCUACUUAAAUCUUAAACAGAUUACAACAACGGUUAGCAGAAUGACGUUAAUCAUUUCACAGAUCUUCGAUUAUUUCCGGUAUUACUUCCGGUUUCUGUUUCAGAAUUUAUCGAUUUAACUUUGCUGUGUCGUUUUGCUUCUAGAUAUAUUUUAUUCUUCCAUUUCUUAAUAUAGAUGAUAUUUUUCUUGGACCAAGUUUUUCAGUACAAAUAGUCUCACAUAUCAGCUAUAGCGUCAUUUUGUGAACCAUGAUACAAUAAAAGUUGGAACGUGGAUACAAUAAAUAAAAGAAUUGAUAUAAUGUAUAGAGAUGUUAUAACUAUAGAUAUAACUCAGUUUCUGGCCGACUCCGACACGACAAACGCAUUUAAGGCACCCUGGGGCUUGAGACGACGUUACUUUUCGACAGGUGUGACCCCUUAACGAAAAUUUGUAUAAAUGAGGUCACGUGACUAAGCGUAAGCUUAUGUCAUUCCCAUACAAGCGUUAGUGGGCCACAUCUAUCGGAUAGUGAUGUUGUCGCAAGCCCCUAUUCCAUAAAGAAAAGUAAAUCUAAAUUCUAAUAAGAUUUCUAGAAAAGAUGCACUAUAACUUUGUCAUAUGCUUGUAACGUAACCCUUCAAGUUGUGUAGCUUUGUCCUCCGAUUUUGUACCUUAAACAAGUCCAGUUUUGUAGUUCUAUAAUGCACAAAAUUUCUUUAAUGUGCCAAAAGUAUUUGAUUAUUUCGCGCGAUAAAUUCCUUUAAAAAAUUUAUAAGCUAGUCUCAUUUGCGCUGCUAGGAUUUUAUAAAAUUUGAGCGUCAAAUGUAAUGGCCGAUGUGAAUCAAAAAUCAUUAAAAAUUAUACUUUAUAGAUCAGUUCGAAAUUCGAAUAAUAAUAAAUGACAAAUUGUUCGAAAUUUAAAAUAACACAUUCGGUAUUAAACGCAGCAACUUCAUAACGUUAGAUACUUCACAAGGUCAUAGGUUUUUGUGCUUGUCCAUUCUAUUAUAUAAUCUUAUUUAUGAUUUAAAAAUCGAAAAUUUAUAAUAAUUGAUUAUAAGCUUUUCUGUAAUUAGUAAUUCGUUUUAGGUUAAGUGAUUUGUGCCUGAAUAAUAUUAAUUUUAGUUUACUAUCGUUUCUAUUUUCGCUAACAUAUAUUCCAACAUUUCAAUUGUUAUUGUGGUCUACAAAGAGUUUUAUACAAAAGGUCUUAUUAAUAAUGUACAAUGUCAAAUUGUUGGAAAUAAAAAAAACACAAAUAUAAUGUUGCUUUUUCGAUACGAAUAUAAAGGUUCAGUAGUUUCUAACUCUUCUCACUUUUCCUAUUAAAUUUAGCUUAAUAGUAUUUUUAGUUAAUCAUAACUACUGAACGUGACGUUUAUAAAAUAACUAAGCGUUUCUUGUAGCCUACAGGCUCCAUACAAGCCUACGGGAUAGCUAUAAAAGAAGGUCACUACACGCCAUGAACACUUUUAGUCUAUGUGUUGCCGGCCUUUAAGUGAGGAGGGCAGCUUUAUUUAAUAUCUAUCAACUUCAUAAUCGGUAUGUAGAGUGAGUUUCCAUUAACUCAUAUAAAUAAUAUUUACAUAUAAAAAAUAUAUGCUGACCGUUUACUACAGGGCUUCUAUCCUAUUAUAGGCAUUAUAUAUUCUAUUAUAGGCACCAGCCUUUCACAUAUCAUUAAAAAACUAACUAUUAUUUUGACUGGUUAAGUGAAAUAAAUUAUUAUACAACCUCUAACUUUUUAAAAUGUAUAAACCUCUUUGGUAGAUCACAAAUAGAUUAAUUAUCAAUGCAAUAGUCUAUUUGAUAGUUGAGCAUUUAAAAACGUUAUUACUUAAAGUAUAUAGAUACGUGUAAGUGACGAGUACCGGCCUUAGAGUAAAGUAUAUAGGACGUUACGGCUUGGUGUUGUUUAUGGAUGAGGCGGUUUUUAAACGGUAUCUUGUUUCAUAGGUAUAUAUUUAUAGGUUAUGGUUAAGCUGUGAUUAAAUGUAGUGUCCAAAUUUGACAGUGACUCUGAUAAAUACUGUAGUAACUGACGUGACAGAUGACAAGUCAUUGUCACUGUCAAAUGAAUACAAUCUGUCUUUAUCAAAUUAUCUGGCACUGUCAAAUGUGACUGAUUCAAAUAUUAUUAGUCCUAUAGAUUUUUUCAAAGAAUUUCCUUCUGUAGAUCACAUCAGUAGUCAUAUCAUAUGACUAUGAACCGUAUACAAACAUUUAGUCCCGCAAGAAAACUCUUUAUUUAAUUCGAUUACUGAGCAAAUUAAUAUAAUGUGUAUCUGUAUAUUACAUAUGCUUUUGGACAGAUGUAAAACUACGAAGCAAGAUCCGAAUACCGCCUUAGUCUAUGGGGAUUUAACUACAAAACUUAUCAAUCGCUCAUGCAUGUAGUUAAACCCCAAUAUUUAAGAUACAUUUUUCGAAGUUUCUCUGUCUCUUUCGAUUAGUUAAGGGUUGAUCUUAUUCAAUAUUAAAAAUAUCCUAGACAUGUUUAAGUAAUCAAUAGAUGUGUAUAUUUACCGUGCGCAAAUAUAUUCGUUUAUAAUCAGCCUAAUUAUAUCUACUGUACACAUAGAUAAAUUAUUUUUCAUUAUGAAAUAGAAUAUAUCGUUAGUGUAAACUGUUAAUUUCUAAUUAUAUUAUUGAUUUGUUAAAAUUAACUUUAUUUCGUUGUAUUUUUUAAUCCUUGUAACACUUCCGUUUUUAUGGCAAUACCAGUUUCGGGUUAGUCGGUCGAAGACUAUGCCAUAGAUAAGAUAUUGAGGAAA